rnacentral:lncRNA from 1 species
GGAUUAUGCAUUUUUGUCCAAGAAAUUUUUCUACUGACAUCCUAUAUCUUACGUUCUACCUAAAAGAUGGUUUUCUUAAUCGUAUUGUGGCCUGUUCUUUUGUUGGACGUAAUUGUACCUAUCAACUGGAUGGUUUUUUCAGAAGUAUAGAUUUUCCGCUUGCCAACAUUCCCAACAGUUUUUUUAAUCAAGGCAAUGGUGUUGGAUAUAUUUAUGGAAAUGAAGGUGUAUUUAGUAUGAACGUUGAUGGAAGCUUACUCACUAAUAUACACAAUUUUGACAUUUAUUUGAC